AAGCCAUCCAACUUUUCACAUUGAAAAAUCAAAGCAUUAUCAUUUCAAACAUUGCAGAAGCAGCUUCCAUGUCCUUUUGGUGAGAAAGUCUGUGAGGACCAUGGAGCUACUUGGGAUAAAGAAAUACAAGGAAGAGAAAGCAAAUUCCCAGACCAAACAGAGGAGAAAGAUAACCUAAGACAUCACCAUCGAGGGACUGCAUCAAGGAGAUUACAAGCAAGACCAUCUGCCAAGGUUUGGGAGAAAAGGAGAUGAAAGCCUGGAGAAGACUGUGUCUCCCAAAGGAAAACAUCUUGCUAUUUUUCAAAGCUAAAUGGAACAUCGGCCAGAGAAAAUAGCCAUCAGAAGGAUGAAUUUCCUAGUUUCUAGAGCAAAGACAAUUAACAUGAACAUUUCCACCUACAGUCAUAAACAUGGACCUCCCCCUCCCACGUGAAGCCUCAGUGUCUGUGUGUCUAAACAACGAGGUGCCUGCUCACUCGGGUAUUAGGUGUGAUUGAGAGAUAACUUACUCACAGGCCGGGCAGCAGCUUCUGUGCACGCCGCAGCCCAUGCUCUUGUGAGCAUCAAAAGGAGAUGAAGCCUGAUUAACCAUUUUGAAAUCUAUCGGAUGAGGAGAAGUCCUUACAAAACAACUUUUAUACGCUUUAAUUAAAAACGUGUUCUGGCAGCUCAGAGCUGAAUGGGCUUCAGGGGGAGCUGGGCUGAGCGCGUUGCUAUGACGACACCAAAUCUUUUCACGCCUGGCCCUUCCUCAGCGCUCUCUGUCUAGUUCUCUAGAGCCAGUAAUUGCCUCCGUCCCGUCUCACUCCCUCAAUCCCUUGGUCCAUAAGUCUAUAUUAGUCCCAAUAUUUUCUGCUAUUUCUGCUAUUGUACCUCUCCCUGCACCCCACCUUUUCAUCCCUUGCAUUGCCCCCGUCUCUGUUUUGCUGUUUCUUUUGAAAACAAGUUUAUUCUCUGAGUCAAAAACACACACCCACAAAGUCACAGCAUGAUAAUCAUUAUUUGUUAUUUCUCAUGAUAAAAUAAUAAAUCCAUUUUUAGGGGCAUUGAGUGUAAUCAAGAAUGACUUUUGUGAUACAUUUUUUUAUUUUUAUU